UCCCUCGUAGCUCAGUCAGUAAAGAACCUGCCUGCAAUGCAGGAGACCCGGGUUUGAUUCCUGGGUUGGGAA
rfam:Ovis aries breed Texel chromosome 3, whole genome shotgun sequence.